GGUGUUUAUCAAGCAACUACUAUACACAGGACCUUGUUUGGGUUUUGCUUUGUUUGCAGAGCUGGGGAUUGAAACGCCAAGCGGGAGCUCCAUCCCUGAGCCACACCUCCAGCCCAGGAUCUGUUCUAGGACCUGCAGACACAGCCUCAACCGGACAGCCUCCCAGCCUGGCUCAGGUCCCCUGCGGUCACUCCUGGAGUUCCCAGCAUUCCACUUCACUGCAAAAGACAUCCCAGGAAAAUUGAGCUCCGGUAACAUGUCGCAGACUCGGCUUCUCCCUGCUGUAAGCGGGCAGAGGUGCCCUCCUGGCUGCCCAGCGGAGCUCCUAAGGCCCAGCCGCCCCCUUGCCCCACUCGCCCCAGGGAGCCCAGCGCAGCACCCCAGGCCUGGAACAAGGAGCCUCUCAGGAAACGUUGGUGGAUCAAAUAAAUGAGCCGUCGUGUCGCCUGCUUCUGGAACCAGAAUGUGCGUAAACCCAGGGAUCCACCACGGUGUGCCAAGCACUCAAAAGUCCACGGCAAACCGUUUCCAUUGCCAGGUUCACUACAUCUUUUGAAGGAGAAUUUGUCUGUGUACAUAACGAACACUGUCCGGGUGGAGUGGAGGGCGGACUUUUUUUUUUUUUAAAAAUACUGGGGCCGGAACCCAGGUCCUAGCACACGCUGGGCAAGCUCUCUGCGCUGAACUACAUACCCCAACCCCUGAAGAUAGAUAGAUAGAUAGAUAGAUAGAUAGAUAGAUAGAUAGAUAGAUAGAUGGAUGGUGGGGACUGAACUCAGGGACACUUAAUUACUAAGCCACAGUCCUUUUUUGUUUUUUAUUUAGAGACAACGUCUCCUUAAUUUGCUUAGGGCCUCGCUAACUUGCUGAGGCUGGCCUCCAACUUGCAAUCAUCCUGCUUCAGCCUCCUCAGACUCUGGGAUUACAGGCAUGUGUCACAAUGGCCAGAAAGGUGACUUUUUAAUGAUAAUAAGGCUUCAGUGGGGCUCCCCGUAAUCCCAGCAGUUCAAGAGGCUGAAGCAGAAGGGUCGAGAGUUCAAAGCCAGCCUCAGCAACUUCGUAAGACACUUAGCAACUCAGGGAGACCCUGUCUCUAAAUAAAGUUCAAAACAGGGCUGGGGAUUGUCGGUGG
rnacentral:lncRNA from 1 species